UGGGGAAUUUUGCGCAAUGGGCGAAAGCCUGACGCAGCAACGCCGCGUGUGUGAUGAAGGUCUUUGGAUUGUAAAGCACUUUCGACCGGGACGAAACCGUAAAGCCUAAUACGCUUUGCCUUGACGGUACCGGGAGAAGAAGCACCGGCUAACUCUGUGCCAGCAGCCGCGGUAAUACAGAGGGUGCAAGCGUUGUUCGGAAUUAUUGGGCGUAAAGCGCGUGUAGGCGGCUUUGCAAGUCGGGUGUGAAAGCCCUCAGCUCAACUGAGGAAGUGCGCCCGAAACUGCAGAGCUUGAGUGCCGGAGAGGGUGGCGGAAUUCCCCAAGUAGAGGUGAAAUUCGUAGAUAUGGGGAGGAACACCGGUGGCGAAGGCGGCCACCUGGACGGUAACUGACGCUGAGACGCGAAAGCGUGGGGAGCAAACA
rnacentral:rRNA from 1 species